GAGAGAGAGAGAGAGAGAGACGCAUGAGACUAACCCUAUUAUAGUGUAUUUUGUUAGUUAAUCUCCUAGGUUAAAGGAGUAAUUAUACAGUGAAGCGAUUAUUGCAUGUAGGAUAUCCUACCAGGAAUGGCCGCUACAAAAAAUAAAUAGAUUUACAACUGAUUUUUGCAACCGACUGAAAUUGGUUGCUAUUAACAAUCAAUUUUGCAACUGAUUUUUUUUUU
rnacentral:misc_RNA from 1 species